rnacentral:rRNA from 1 species
UACGUAGGGUGCGAGCGUUGUCCGGAAUUAUUGGGCGUAAAGAGCUCGUAGGUGGCUUGUCGCGUCUGCCGUGAAAGCCCAUGGCUUAACUGUGGGUCUGCGGUGGAUACGGGCAGACUAGAGUGCGGUAGGGGAGAUUGGAAUUCCUGGUGUAGCGGUGGAAUGCGCAGAUAUCAGGAGGAACACCAAUGGCGAAGGCAGAUCUCUGGGCCGU